rnacentral:rRNA from 1 species
UACGUAGGUGGCAAGCGUUGUCCGGAUUUACUGGGCGUAAAGGGCACGCAGGCGGUGCGGCGCGUUUCGCGUGACAGCGGAGGGCUUAACUCUCCGAGGAUGCGAAAGACGGCGGCACUUGAGGGCCAGAGAGGGACACGGAAUUCCGGGUGGAGUGGUGAAAUGCGUAGAGAUCCGGAGGAACACCGAAGGCGAAGGCAGUGUCCUGGCUGGUGACUGACGCUGAGGUGCGAAAGCUAGGGGAGCGAACGGG